rnacentral:lncRNA from 13 species
GUUAAGAUCCCCACCAGCAGUGAAUGUGUUCCCUUUUCCCCACAUUCAUGCCAAUAUCUAUUGUUUUUUGACUUUCUAAAUUUGAUUUAGGGCUGUGUGUUUGCAUGUGUGUGUGUAUGUGUGUGUGUUUAAACUUAUCUCAAAUAACAGACUUAAUUAGGGCCUUAUAUAUGAUUAACAAAAAUGUAGCCACAUGAAUUUUUGUCUUUUGAAAAAAUUAAUUAUAUGCAAUAGUUUUCUAGAUACAGAAGUUUAUUUCUAAAAUGUUCAUUGUGAACUCCUGGCUUCUCAUCAAAGCUGUUUUACCAUUAGUGUAUUCCAGUUUGUAUGGACAGGAGUAUAUUUGAUAAAAGAUGAAAAGGUACAUACUUCUAUACAUCCAUUUCUAAAAAGAAGUUUCCAAAUAUUUCUAGUUGCAUGUAUUUUUUUAAUUCUCUCCUAAGUACAAAUUAUAGAGUUGUAGGCUAAAUUUUAGAUUACACCUGUGGAACUUGUGAGCUUUGUUCUUCUGAAUAGGUCUUUAUAUCAUUACUGGUUAUCAAACACAUAUUUAUUACUUACCCUCUGUAUUUGUUACCUCGAGUUUCAUUACACAUUGCUACAAAUUUAGUGACUGAAAACAACAAACAUUUAUUAUCUUACAGGUACUGUGGAUCAGGAGCCCAAGCAUGCCUUAGUUACAACCACUGCUACAGAGUUUCUCAGAAACCUACAAUCAAACUAUUGUCCAGCUCUGGGUCUCUGCCUCCAUGCUCACCAGGUACAGCUAAAAUCACUGAACGAUAUGUAAAAUACUAUGAAAGGCGGAAAGGAGGAAACAGAUGGGCUAGGGAACCCAAGAAACCACGCAACAGUGAGUUUGUAGGUUUUCUUUUAGCCUCCUGUAUGUCCUGGAGAAACUGGCAGCUGGGAAACUACACACCAAGAAGACUACUUUCUUUAGCCAAAGGAUUAAGAAAGGACAAUCUAGAAAAACAACAAUUUUAGCAAUAAUUGCCCUGCUACAGUCAAACACCGUGGUGGAAAAGCAGAGCCUCCUGCCUCCGUGUCAGAAAAGACUUCAGCUCCUACUGGCCAGAAAUUUACAAAUUCCAACAGCAGCACCUCCAUUCUAGCUCUUAGAAAGAACUUAGUGCCUACUAAAUAAAUAAAUAAGAUGCAACCCUGUUUCA